rnacentral:rRNA from 1 species
AUUAUAAAAGCACAUGGUGGAUGCCUAGACACUAAGUAUCGAUGAAGGACGUGGCAACCUGCGAUAAGCUUCGGCGAGGUGGUAAGCAACCUGUGACCCGGAGAUGUCCGAAUGGGGAAACCCGGCACGAGUAAUGUCGUGUCACCACAUACUGAAUACAUAGGUAUGUUGGAGAAGACCUGGCGAAGUGAAACAUCUCAGUAGCCAGAGGAAAAGAAAAUAACAAAAGACUUCUUUUUUCUUACCUUAGUUCUGUAUUAUCUUCGGAUAAGAUAGAAAUAAGGUAGUUGAGAGAAGUUAUGAUUCCGUUAGUAGUGGCGAACGAAUGCGGAAGAGCCUAAACCAUAACUGUGUUGGUGUGUUAAUGGAUGAUCUUCGGAUUAUUUUGAAACAUGCCUUAAAGGACAGGCCGUUGCAGAUAUGGUGUUGUAGGAUGUAUUGUCCGGUAACCUGAAUGGCCGGGUGAUAUGUAUAUCUUGUAUAGUAGAAGACUCCUGGAACGGAGCGCCAAAGACGGUGAUAGCCCUGUAUACAAAAUAUGUUAUAUAUAUCAUGAAUACAUUCCUGAGUACGGCAGAACACGUGAAAUUUUGUCGGAAUCCGUCGCGACUAUGCGAUAAGGCUAAAUAUACUUAGUGAUCGAUAGUGAACCAGUACCAUGAGGGAAAGGUGAAAAGCAGCCCGGUGAGGGCGAUGAAAUAGUUUCUGAAACCAUGUGCUUACAAGAAGUUGGAGCCCUAGAUUCGUUCAGGGUGACAGCGUUCCUAUUGAAGAAUGAGC